rnacentral:ncRNA from 1 species
UCUCAUUAAAAAAACCAAGCUUAGGAUGGUGGCCAUGGAAGUCGGAAUCCGCUAAGGAGUGUGUAACAACUCACCUGCUGAAUCAAGUAGCCUUGAAAAUGGAUGGUGCUGGA